rnacentral:lncRNA from 1 species
AGCAUCUGUGCAGAUUACAGGUCAUUUCUUUCCCGACAUAGAUUUUUCAUGAGAAUAUUUGUAAUUUAGAGCACACACUCUGAAGUCAGUGAGAUCUGCGUUUGCAUCCCAGCUCCGCUACCUACUAGCUGUGUGCCUUGGGUCUCGGGGAGGGACGUGGCUGCUGUCCCUGUGUAAGAGGUCACACCAGGUUUAUUCCGGCAACACUGAGUAGCUUCGAUGCUGGAGGCUGGAAGAUGUUUCGAACUUCUUGAUUGUCAGCCUUCUCCGCCACGACAUCCCGCACACUGGACUCACCUGGGGAACUUUAACCAGUGAUUGAAGCUGAUGCCUGAGUCCCACACCCAGCAUCUGAUUCAGCUGCCCUGGGUGGGACCAGGGUGUGGAGGUUUUUAAAGCCCCCAGAUGCUUCUAAUGUGCAGCCGAGGUCACAAACCACUGCACAAAUGCUUGGUUGCAGCAUUCCUGAGUAAUUUUAUUUCUAAAACUCACAAACCACUCAGACACUGACCAUACUAUUUCCUUACAUGGAAACAGAAGGAUGUUUAGCAAUACCG